rnacentral:rRNA from 1 species
GACGAACGCUGGCGGCGUGCCUAAUACAUGCAAGUUGAGCGCUGAAGGUUGGUACUUGUACCAACUGGAUGAGCAGCGAACGGGUGAGUAACGCGUGGGGAAUCUGCCUUUGAGCGGGGGACAACAUUUGGAAACGAAUGCUAAUACCGCAUAAAAACUUUAAACACAAGUUUUAAGUUUGAAAGAUGCAAUUGCAUCACUCAAAGAUGAUCCCGCGUUGUAUUAGCUAGUUGGUGAGGUAAAGGCUCACCAAGGCGAUGAUACAUAGCCGACCUGAGAGGGUGAGCGGCCACAUUGGGACUGAGACACGGCCCAAACUCCUACGGGAGGCAGCAGUAGGGAAUCUUCGGGAAUGGACGAAAGUCUGACCGAGCAACGCCGAGUGAGUGAAGAAGGUUUUCGGAUCGUAAAACUCUGUUGGUAGAGAAGAACGUUGGUGAGAGUGGAAAGCUCAUCAAGUGACGGUAACUACCCAGAAAGGGACGGCUAACUACGUG